rnacentral:rRNA from 1 species
CAGUAGCCACGGGAAUACGUAGGGCGCAAGCGUUAUCCGGAAUUAUUGGGCGUAAAGAGCUCGUAGGCGGUUUGUCGCGUCUGCCGUGAAAGUCCGGGGCUCAACCCCGGAUCUGCGGUGGGUACGGGCAGACUAGAGUGAUGUAGGGGAGACUGGAAUUCCUGGUGUAGCGGUGAAAUGCGCAGAUAUCAGGAGGAACACCGAUGGCGAAGGCAGGUCUCUGGGCAUUAACUGACGCUGAGGAGCGAAAGCAUGGGGAGCGAACAGGAUUAGAUACCCCAGUAGUCCCUGUCUCUUAUAC